GCGGCGGGAAGGGGAGGCCCUUUCAGCUGGAGCGUCAGCAUGAUGACGUCACUGCGCUCUUUUCUGCCGGGGGGGGGGCCCUUACCCCUCACCCUCCUCCCCUGAUUAUCAGAGAUCAGCGAGGCACGGUGUGGAUACUCAAGGAGCUCCCGAUCAAAUGCUGAGACAACAACCUGCAGACGACUGUGACCCGUAGGACCCUGUGCCGCCCCCUCUGCACCCCCGCAUCUGGGGUCCUGGAAGCUUGGUAUAUAACAGGCACUCGAUAAACGCGGGGCUCCAGAGGGCUGCAUUCUCUGCCUGACCUGGGGGGGUUCUCUCCCCACCCCUGCCCCCUGGCCAAUCCCCUGGUCUCAGUGUCUGCCUUAGGGGCGCCCCUACCUCUCCCCGCCGGGGAAGCGGUCCUAGUGACCCACCCUUCCGCUAACUUGCUGUGCGACCUUAAGCAGGUCCGUCUCCCCCUGGUUUCUGUCUGUAAAAGGAGAGGAGAGGUGAAUAAUUCAGGCGGCUCACUCCUGUUGCUGUCGGCCCUGGUAAAAUUACACGAAGGCUCCGGCGGUGAAGUCAUCCUCCCCCAGCUUCCUCUCUGGCCAGGACUGGCCCAAUCAGACCACUCACUGUCCUCCCCCGCGGCCCUCGCGUCUUCCGGCCGGGCCCUUUCCAGCAAGCCUAGCUGUCUGCUCCCGCAAAAGAAGGAAGAGCCGGGAACUGGAAGUCCCUGGGGAUGGGGGCCGCUGGCAAGAGGCUAACCUUUCCAGAGCGACAUCGGGUGGGCGGGCUCCCGGCUAUGACCUGUCUGACCUCCCUGUGCCGCGUUCCUCAUCUGUGAAAUGGAGCUAAUGAGCGUUUUAUAGCCUGUCUCACAGUGAUUAGCAAGAUGCGAUAAACCCAAAGUCAUAAAAAUGAAAGUUUUCUUUAUUGUUAUUAGGUGUGAAGUAUCCAUCGAUUACAAUCAUGUGAUUUUUGAAGACUUAAGUAGAAGUUGAAAUCUGUUCAGGCCUCAGAGGAAACCUUAAAAGUGCUUAAAAAAGUGUUAGUUACUGUGAUGGUUCAAUUCGACAAGCAUUUAUUAAACACCUGCUGUGUGCCAGGUCCCGGGGAUACAAAGUCAAGUCAAAAUGGAAGCAUUCUGUGCCCUCAAGGGGCUUCCAUUCUACUGGGAGAGAGGAAAAGGGAGA
rnacentral:lncRNA from 1 species